rnacentral:rRNA from 1 species
AUGACUGAGGCCUUGAAUGACAAAUAUUUAGGACUGUCGGCCAAUGUGGGUUUAGAUAAAACCGAUUGUUUUCAAUACUUAAUCGAUCGUAUUGUUCAGAGAAUUAGUGGUUGGAAGGAAAAACUUCUGUCAGCUGGAGGGAAGGAGAUCUUACUUAAAGCGGUUGUUCAAGCUAUUCCCACCUAUGCAAUGUCGGUCUUUAAAAUUCCUAAUUGCAAAGGAAUUAUUGACGUGUUGGCGCAUUUCCGGUGGGGAGCUGAGGACAGCCAAAGGAGGAUGCAUUGGAUGGCUUGGUGGAAAAUGUGUGUACCCAAGAACCAAGGAGGAAUGGGUUUUCGGGAUAUCCAUUGUUUCAAUUUGGCUAUGCUUGCUGAACAGGCUUGGUGUCUGAUACGUCUCCAACGUAUCUAUAAUAUAUGA